UAGGGAAUAUCGCACAAUGGAGGAAACUCUGAUGCAGCGACGCCGCGUGAGUGACGAAGGCCUUCGGGUUGUAAAGCUCUGUUCUCAGGGAAAAAGAAAGUGAUUGUACCUGAGAAGAAAGGACCGGCUAACUUCGUGCCAGCAGCCGCGGUAAGACGAGGGGUCCAAGCGUUGUUCGGAAUCAUUGGGCGUAAAGCGGGUGUAGGUGGAUCUAUAAGUCAGGAGUGAAAGCCCCGAGCUUAACUUGGGAAGUGCUUUUGAUACUGUAGAUCUUGAAUGUGGGAGAGGAUCGUGGAAUUCCAGGUGUAGUGGUGAAAUACGUAGAUAUCUGGAGGAACACCGGUGGCGAAGGCGGCGAUCUGGCCCAACAUUGACACUGAGACCCGAAAGCGCGGGGAUCAAACAG
rnacentral:rRNA from 1 species